rnacentral:rRNA from 1 species
CCUACGGGAGGCAGCAGUGAGGAAUAUUGGGCAAUGGACGCAAGUCUGAACCAGCCAUGCCGCGUGCAGGAUGACGGCUCUAUGAGUUGUAACCUGCUUUUGUACGAGGGUAAACCCCGAUACGUGCAUCGGGUUGAACGUAUCCUACGAAUAAGGAUCGGCUAACUCCGUGCCAUCAGCCGCGGUAAUACGGAGGGUGCGAGCGUUAAUCGGAAUUACUGGGCGUAAAGCGCUCGUAGGCGGGAUGUCAAGUCACGGGUGAAAUCCCCGCGCUCAACGUGGGAACUGCCUUUGAAACUGGCAAACUGGAGUGUGUGAGAGGAUAGUGGAAUUCCAGGUGUAGGAGUGAAAUCCGUAGAUAUCUGGAGGAACAUCAGUGGCGAAGGCGACUAGCUGGAACAUAACUGACGCUGAGGAGCGAAAGCGUGGGUAGCAAACAGGAUUAGAUACCCGGGUAGUC